GACGAACGCUGGCGGCGUGCCUAAUACAUGCAAGUCGAACGCAGGGGGGACGGGUGAGUAACACGUGGGUAACCUCCCGUCAGAGGGGAUAACACUUGGAAACAGGUGCUAAACCGAUACUGAUGGAUGGGCCCGCGGUGCAUUAGCUAGUUGGUGGGGUAACGGCUCACCAAGGCCACGAUGCAUAGCCGACCUGAGAGGGUGACCGGCCACAGUGGGACUGAGACACGGCCCAGACUCCUACGGGAGGCAGCAGUGGGGAAUCUUCGGCAAUGGACGAAAGUCUGACGGAGCAACGCCGCGUGAGUGAAGAAGGUUUUCGGGUUGUAAAGCUCUGUUGUUAGAGAAGCGUUAUCUAACCAGGAAGCCCCGGCUAACUACGUGCCAGCCGCCGCGGUAAUAC
rnacentral:rRNA from 1 species